GCCGAGGUGGCGGAAAGGAAUACGCGCCUGCAUUUGCGGGUGGACCUGCAGGUCUUUGGGGGUUCGAGUCCCUCACUCGGCA
rnacentral:tRNA from 1 species